rnacentral:rRNA from 1 species
UGCAGUCGAGGGGCAUCACGUGUAGCAAUACAUGGUGGCGACCGGCGGAAGGGUGCGUAACGCGUGAGCAACAUGCCCGUAUCAGGGGGAUAAACCAGGGAAACUUGGUCUAAUACCGCAUAAUAAGUUUCUAAGGCAUCUUAGGGAUUUUAAAGUUUUGGUGGAUACGGAUUGGCUCGCGUGACAUUAGCUAGAUGGUAAGGUAACGGCUUACCAUGGCAACGAUGUCUAGGGGUUCUGAGAGGAAGAUCCCCCACACUGGAACUGAGACACGGUCCAGACUCCUACGGGAGGCAGCAGUGAGGAAUAUUGGACAAUGGAUGGAAAUCUGAUCCAGCCAUGCCGCGUGCAGGAAGACAGCCCUAUGGGUUUUAAACUGCUUUUAUACGGGAGCAAUAAGGACUAUGCGUAGUUUGAUGAGAGUACCGUACGAAUAAGCACCGGCUAACUCCGUGCCAGCAGCCGCGGUAAUACGGAGGGUGCAAGCGUUAUCCGGAUUUAUUGGGUUUAA